rnacentral:rRNA from 1 species
ACAUACCACUUGUUGCCUCGGCGGAUCAGCCCGCUCCCGGUAAAACGGGACGGCCCGCCAGAGGACCCCUAAACUCUGUUUCUAUAUGUAACUUCUGAGUAAAACCAUAAAUAAAUCAAAACUUUCAACAACGGAUCUCUUGGUUCUGGCAUCGAUGAAGAACGCAGCAAAAUGCGAUAAGUAAUGUGAAUUGCAGAAUUCAGUGAAUCAUCGAAUCUUUGAACGCACAUUGCGCCCGCCAGUAUUCUGGCGGGCAUGCCUGUUCGAGCGUCAUUUCAACCCUCAAGCACAGCUUGGUGUUGGGACUCGCGUUAAUUCGCGUUCCUCAAAUUGAUUGGCGGUCACGUCGAGCUUCCAUAGCGUAGUAGUAAAACCCUCGUUACUGGUAAUCGUCGCGGCCACGCCGUUAAACCCCAACUUCUGAAUGUUGACCUCGGAUCAGGUAGGAAUACCCGCUGAACUUAAGCAUAUCAAUAAG